CUCAUGCUGGAACUGCAGAGAGCUCGAAACCGCUCCGGCGCUAUAGAAUGUGGCUGCGGCCGAUUAGGUAGACGGUGGGGUAACGGCCCACCGUGCCAAUAAUCGGUACGGGUUGUGAGAGCAAGAGCCCGGAGACGGUAUCUGAGACAAGAUACCGGGCCCUACGGGGCGCAGCAGGCGCGAAACCUUUACACUGCACGACAGUGCGAUAAGGGGACUCCGAGUGCGAGGGCAUAUAGUCCUCGCUUUUCACCACCGUAAGGAGGUGGUGGAAUAAGUGCUGGGCAAGACCGGUGCCAGCCGCCGCGGUAAUACCGGCAGCACGAGUGAUGGCCGCUCUUAUUGGGCCUAAAGCGUCCGUAGCUGGCCAGGCAAGUCCAUCGGGAAAUCCGCACGCUCAACGUGCGGGCGUCCGGUGGAAACUGCCUGGCUUGGGACCGGAAGACCCGAGGGGUACGUCCGGGGUAGGAGUGAAAUCCCGUAAUCCUGGACGGACCACCGGUGGCGAAAGCGCCUCGGGAAGACGGAUCCGACGGUGAGGGACGAAAGCUCGGGUCACGAACCGGAUUAGAUACCCGGGUAGUCCGAGCUGUAAACGAUGUCUGCUAGGUGUGACACAGGCUACGAGCCUGUGUUGUGCCGCAGGGAAGCCGUGAAGCAGACCGCCUGGGAAGUACGUCCGCAAGGAUGAAAU
rnacentral:rRNA from 1 species